AGGUCCUACGGGAGGCAGCAGUGGGGAAUAUUGCACAAUGGGGGGAACCCUGAUGCAGCGACGCCGCGAGGGUGAAGGAGUAUUUCGGUAUGUAAAUCCCUAUCAGCGGGGAAGAACAAUGACGGUACCUGACUAAGAAGCACCGGCUAAAUACGUGCCAGCAGCCGCGGUAAUACGUAUGGUGCAAGCGUUAUCCGGAUUUACUGGGUGUAAAGGGAGCGCAGGCGGCGCGUUAAGCCUGGUGUGAAAGCCCGGGGCCCAACCGCGGGACUGCUUUGGGACCUGCCCGGCUGGAGUGCGGGAGG
rnacentral:rRNA from 1 species